AUAUAUGGUUUAUCCGAAUACUUUUUUGAAAAAAAUAUCGUAGAUAGUAAAUUAUUUCCAAAAAUAUUUAAACAAAGAGUUCUUGAUAAUCAUAUACAAAUAUGGCAUUCAUCUGUAGAAAAUAAUUCUGUUUUACAACUUUGUGUAGCUUGAUAAUCUGCCCUCAUGAUACCAGUGCCAGUUGUAUGUAUAUUUUAAGUAAUGUUUUCCAUGUUGUUUUCAGCAUUUAUAGAACAGUUGUUGUAUAAUUAGUUAGAAGAUGGAUAGACACGUGACUUCUACACAAGGGGUAAUGGGAUGUGAGAGAAAAAUGGCUUUUUACAUAGAUAUAUCUUAUUUCAGAGGAAGGGCUAAACAUAGUAUGGGAUGGUUGAUUGCAGAAGACAAUAUUUAGCGAGAGUCCAGCCUUUUAUAUUUUGUUAACAUAAAUCAAUCCGUUGAUUGGAUGUGGCAAGAAUUUUCCAUAUUUCCAAGUUAGAAGAGGCUAAAUGGAUUCUGUUUGAAAAGAUCCAGCAUAAAAGCAAUUAACAGAUGCGAAACAAUGUGUCUCUGUGAAAAGGGUAUAGGCUAAAGGUUUCAACAGCUACGGCCGAAAAGGUGGAGAUAUAAUUUCAGCAUUGAACAAGGGCAGGGCAAUAUGUAUAUAUACAUGUGUAGCGUUGUCAGACUAUAUGGAUAGUCGGGCCUCGGUGACAAAAAUGAUGAAAUAACAUUGUGUUUUUUCAGUGUAUUAACAUUCAGAAGAUUCAUUUUAUUUUUAAAUGUCUUUUUAAAAUAUUUUUUUUUUACAAAACUUCCAUGGUAAAGUAAGUGCAUUUUAGCAUUGGUAAGAUAUUCACUUGAAGGAUUGAUUUUCACAGAAAUGCAAAUACAAUGUAUACAGUAUAAAUAAUAAUUAUUCGUGUAAAAUGUAUUGCAAUUUUGAAUUAUAAUAUGAAUUUAAAAGAUUCAUACAACUUUAUUAAUGGUAGAGCUAACUUGUAAGAAUAUUAAAUGGAAUCUGACUUAAAGUAAAAAAAAAUAUAUCAUUAGUGGGUGGGGUAAUGUUUUAUACUAGUCUAAAUGAUGAUGUAUAGAUUAUGCAGUGUUGCGACUUUUUGAAUGUAAUCAACAUUGGUUGAAGUGUUUUGGAUUAAAUAAAGCAUGUUUGUGUAUAAAUGUGUUACUUUGUUAAUGAUCAUAUUUGCGUAGAAUAUCUGGGUUAUUUAAUUUCACAGAUUUUUCUAAUUGAAAAAACAUGAUUUCAAAAAAUGACAUUUUUAGCAUUUUAUACUUCGAAUUUUUUUGAGGACUUUUUACCUGUAGCAACACAUAUAUAGUAGAUAACAAAUAUGCAAAUAUCUUUUCUGAAGGAAUUUGUUUGAGGUUGGGUCUUAUUUUUGGCUAAAAUGCCU